GUUUGAUCAUGGCUCAGAAUGAACGCUGGCGGCGCGCCUAAUACAUGCAAGUCGAGCGAGAAGACGUAGCAAUACGUUUGUAAAGCGGCGAACGGGUGAGGAAUACAUGGGUAACCUACCCUCGAGUGGGGAAUAACUAGCCGAAAGGUUAGCUAAUACCGCGUACGCUCCUUGGACUUCGGUUCAGGGAGGAAAGCGAUACCGUGGGUAUCGCGCUCUUGGAUGGGCUCAUGUCCUAUCAGCUUGUUGGUGAGGUAACGGCUCACCAAGGCUUCGACGGGUAGCUGGUCUGAGAGGACGAUCAGCCACACUGGCACUGCGACACGGGCCAGACUCCUACGGGAGGCAGCAGUAAGGAAUAUUGCGCAAUGGGCGAAAGCCUGACGCAGCGACGCCGCGUGGGGGAUGAAGGUCUUCGGAUUGUAAACCCCUUUCGGGAGGGAAGAUGGAAUGGGGUAACCCAUUUGGACGGUACCUCCAGAAGCAGCCACGGCUAACUUCGUGCCAGCAGCCGCGGUAAUACGAAGGUGGCAAGCGUUAUUCCGAUUUACUGGGC
rnacentral:rRNA from 1 species